GAACUGAACGACCGGGCUUCACAACAAAAACAUGGCCACAUGAGUUGGAUUAUUCCGCAGCCCAACAUCAAUUUCAAUCGGUGAUAUUGUUUCUCAUGCAGUCGAAUAUCUGAGAGCUCAUUGCAACAAUGGAUUCCAAAAAUCCAAUCCUGAGAAACGCUUUACAGCGAUUAUGUCCCUCAUGUAAUAUUAUCGUGAACAUUAAUCAACAUGUCUGCAAGUGUGGCUAUAGGCUUUUUGAUGCCAAACGUAAAGCUCAGCCGGAAAGCCAGGCUCAGGCAAAUAUCAAGAGAUCGGAAAAAAAAACAUAUA